UGCUGGAAAAUGCCGGUAUGAAGUCUGACUGGACAACAGGCAUCCAAACCAAGCAGUUUACGGGGAAAUCACAGCUAGAAAGGACAUUUAAAGGACAAGAAACAGAGAGCUCUGGGAGACAUUUGCCUUGCAGAAAUGCACUGGGGAGCUGGCAAGAGAUGAUGAAACACAAAACUGAAAUCAGUUUCAAGCGAUUAGUGAAAUUGGGAAGGAGUACUUCAUCCUCAGAGGCAAGAUGGAAAAAUUAUCUUUUCUCCUGAAGUACUCCAGUGUCUCUACCCUCAAGAACAAUAAGGAAUUGACUAAGAGCAGCUCAAAUUAAAGAUCUAGUAUGCCUCCCUUCCUUAGAGCCAAGCAUUUUUCUCCAUUCCUCCCUAUUAAUAUGCUAUAAUAACAUCUCUUUUUCUCACUCAAUCCCUGAUUUGUACUGCAAAUGGCUAACAGAGAAUAUCUGAUGGUGUGCAAUAGAUUCUGUUGUGAAUUUGGGAGGGGUGUUCUGUGUACGUGUACACAGCUUAAAGUAAUUUUUAUCCCUUACUUAAGGAGAAUGAUGUAUAUUCCUCCCUCUCUGUAUCUAGUCAUCUACUGGAGUGAAGAAAUCUAAUUUUGCCAGCUCUCCCUAUGAUAAGAUCAGAGGUUUUCAAACCUUUUCUUGAUUUUUCAGACUCUACCAUGUUUCCUGGGGAGAUGUCCUCAUCCCACCAUGUUUAGGCUACCAACAGCAGUCUUGGUUUGGUUUUGAGUUCACGGUCUCUGUUAAACUCUGCAGGCUGCAAACUGAGGGUUUACGUUCUGGAUUAUUUAUAUUAAUAUUUUCCCAGUGCAAUUCUAUGCUGCUGACUGUCACGGAGCCACAAAGCAAGGAAUAAAUCAUAGCUCAUCACAAGCUGUAGAUACUGCAGCACUUUGGGCUGCUGGGAGCAAAUCCUGGUUGAAAGGAGCAGUGCCUGCUCUGUGUCCACUUCUCACUGUUUUUUAUGGCUGCUGUGCUCUCACAAGUGUUUCUGUGUCUGACUGGGGCACUAAUCCGGUUUGAGAAGGACACCCUCUUCCCAAUCCUUUUCUUUCCCCCUUUUUCUUUCCCCUCAGGUUAGCUUUAGCCUGGGCCUGCCUAGCCCCUUCCUGAGUGAGAGCUUGUUAGCGACUGAUUAGCCGAAGUUUUGAUAAAAGCUUCAUUGUUUGUAACCCCUGUAAACUACCAGGAGCUGUACUCCCAAUAAAAGUGGGAUUAAACAGACACCUCCGGAGUGACACAGUUGCAAGUGGGAAUUUCAGAGUUUUGAGGGACUGAGGGAUGUGGCCAGGCUUCAGUAACUCUGUGUAUCAGAAGUAAUUUUACCAAAAGUGGGAAAGAAGCCUGACUUUUGUGUUUUGGGGGGAAAAGGAACCUGGUGGGAGACAGAAGGAAGUCACCUGUUUGUGGCUGGGUUAAGCACACGCUCCAGGGGUUUGGAAACACGUUUGCAGAAGCUCACAGCACCCUGCAUUCCUCCAGCCUCUCCUCAGGCUUGAGAUUCAUAAAAAGUGUUUUAAAAUCCUCAGUCUGAUCACAUGAAUUUAACCCUUCCUCCUUUUAUUUUUGCAGCAGUAAAAAAGUCCACUUGGCAAUGACGUGUGCCUGACUCGGUGCUAUUGGGUUGUGUCUUUUUUGGGAGGAAUGUUAAGCAAGGGGCUUCUUCCCUCCUGCCUAGAGCAAGAAAUUGACCUGGGCUGAAAUAAAGCAUCUCUGUGGUUUUUAAAUGUUUUUUGUCUGUAAUGGGAUAUUUGAAAUAGAGCUUGCUGCUCUAGGCUGGUUAUUCUGUAGUGAUCUCCCCUAUAGGGUAAGGUAAAGGCCAAAAUCUUUUGGUCCUAAUUCAUCUGAAUAAGCCACCUC